AAUUUCCAGAUUCUCUUCAAUUUGUAUAAAUCUUUUGCUUUUUGCUAUAGUUUUCCAUGGAGAGAAUGGAUUGAGAGUUUUGAAGCAUUUUUUGAAUCUCUCACCUCAGUUAGGUU